UACACAUGUAGACAUGUGCCAUGUUGUGUGCUGUACCCAUUAACUCAUCAUUUACAUUAGGUGUAUCUCCUAAUGAUAUCCCUUCCCACUACCCUCACCCUAUAACAGGCCCCGGUGUGUGAUGUUCCCCUUCCUAUAUCCAAGGGUUCUCAUUGUUCAGUUCCCACCUAUGAGUGAGAACAUGCGGUGUUUGGUUUUCGUCAUUGUGAUAGUUUGCUGAGAAUGAUGGUUUCCAGCUUCAUCCAUGUCCCUACAAGGGACAUGAACUCAUCCUUUUUUUAUAGUUGCAUAGUAUUGCAUGGUGUAUAUGUAUCACAUUUUCUUAAUCCAGUCUAUCAUUGUUGGACAUUUGGGUUGGUUCCAAGUCUUUGCUAUUGUGAAUAGUGCUGCAGUAAACAUAUGUGUGCAUGUGUCUUUAUAGCAGCAUGAUUUAUAAUCCUUUGAGUAUACACCUAGUAAUGGGAUGGCUGGGUCAAAUGCUAUUUCUAGUUCUAGAUCCCUGAGGAAUUGCCACACUGUCUUCCACAAUGGUUGAACUAGUUUACAGUCCCACCAACAGUGUAAAAGUGUUCCUAUUUCUCUGCAUCCUCUCCAGCACCUGUUGUUUCCUGACUUUUUAAUGAUUGCCAUUCUAACUGGUGUGAGAUGGCAUCUCAUUGUGGUUUUGAUUUGCAUUUCUCUGAUGGCUAAUGAUGAUGAGCAUUUUUUCAUGUGUCUGUUGGCUGCAUAAAUGUGUUCUCUUGAGAAGUGUCUGUUCAUAUCCUUUGCCUACUUUUUGAUGGGGUUGUUUUUUUCUUGUAAAUUUGUUUGAGUUCUUUGUAGAUUCUGGAUAUUAGCCCUUUGUCAGAUGAGUAGAUUGCAAAAAUGUUCUCCCAUUCUGUAGGUUGCCUGUUCACUCUGAUGGUAGUUUCUUUUGCUGAAGCACGUCCUGUUCUUGUACUGUGAUACUUCAUGAGUAAUUGAGUGCUGCCACCAUUGUCAACCUUAACUGGGAAGGCUCAUAUUUAGGUGGUACAAAGAGGAUUUGCAUAAACUAUCUGUUUGGCUGGCUCAACUACUUGGAGAGUUUGCAGUAUAAAAAGAGCACAAAAGAGUGGAGUGCAUCCACACUGGGCAAGAGCUUGACAAGCCCAUUUGUCACACCCAGGGAUUUAAUACUGAUUCAAAAGCCUUUGGUGAGUCAUGGAAUUGAGGGAUCCAUUUGGGGAAACUUGUGGAAGUGUGAGAAUGGAGGACAAUCACCCUCUGACACCACAUUGACUUCACACCGUGUGAGCCACAGCAGGGGUGGCAAGCAUGUCUUGUUUUUGUACUGUGAUACUGCAUGAAUAACUGAGUGCUGCCACCUGAGGACGCGCAUCUUUUGGGGGCUGUUGUCUUUCACUGCCACCCCUCCCUCACAUCAUGCAGCCUAUCAAAGCG
rnacentral:lncRNA from 1 species